GUGAGGAAUUUUCCGCAAUGGGCGAAAGCCUGACGGAGCAAUGCCGCGUGAAGGAUGAAGGCCUAUGGGUUGUAAACUUCUUUUCUCAGAAAAGAAUUAUGACGGUAUCUGAGGAAUAAGCAUCGGCUAACUCUGUGCCAGCAGCCGCGGUAAGACAGAGGAUGCAAGCGUUAUCCGGAAUGAUUGGGCGUAAAGCGUCUGUAGGUUGUUUAAAAAGUAUUCUGUCAAAGAUUAGGGCUUAACCCUAGAUAGGCAGAAUAAACUUUUAAGCUAGAGUUUGGUAGAGGCAGAGGGAAUUCCCGGUGGAGCGGAGAAAUGCGUAGAUAUCGGGAGGAACACCAAAGGCGAAGGCACUCUGCUGGGCCAAUACUAACACUGAGAGACGAAAGCGAGGGGAGCAAAUGGGAUUAGAUACCCGUGUAGUCC
rnacentral:rRNA from 1 species